GGGGAAUAUUGGACAAUGGGCGAAAGCCUGAUCCAGCAAUGCCGCGUGAGUGAUGAAGGCCUUAGGGUUGUAAAGCUCUUUUACCAGGGAUGAUAAUGACAGUACCUGGAGAAAAAGCUCCGGCUAACUCCGUGCCAGCAGCCGCGGUAAUACGGAGGGAGCUAGCGUUGUUCGGAAUUACUGGGCGUAAAGCGCGCGUAGGCGGCUACUCAAGUCAGAGGUGAAAGCCCGGGGCUCAACCCCGGAACUGCCUUUGAAACUAGGUAGCUAGAAUCUUGGAGAGGUCAGUGGAAUUCCGAGUGUAGAGGUGAAAUUCGUAGAUAUUCGGAAGAACACCAGUGGCGAAGGCGACUGACUGGACAAGUAUUGACGCUGAGGUGCGAAAGCGUGGGGAGCAAAC
rnacentral:rRNA from 1 species